rnacentral:tRNA from 1 species
GCCUGGGUGGCUCAGUUGGUUGAGCAUCUGACUCGUGAUCUCGGCUCAGGUCUUGACCUCAGGGUUGGUGAGUUCAAGUCCCACAUUGGGCC